rnacentral:lncRNA from 1 species
CCCCCACCCACUGUGCUGCACUGUUUGAGGGGCUGGGCAGCACUGAGGAAGAGCAGGGACCAUAAACCACAGCCCCACUCGGCCCCACAGGCACUGUUCCCUUCCCCUGCGGCCGUCCCGUCCCUGUCCCCGUGGUGCACCAGCACCGUCACCCUGACAGGCCUGCCUCUGGGACGGCAGCUCCCGGCCCGCAGGCCCGGGUCUCCACGCCCUGGAGACGAGGAGCGCUGGACGAGGAGCUAGCUGCUUGCUGACUCCGUGGUCCA